UACGUAGGGUCCGAGCGUUGUCCGGAAUUACUGGGCGUAAAGAGCUCGUAGGUGGUUUGUCGCGUUGUUCGUGAAAACUCACAACUCAAUUGUGGGCGUGCAGGCGAUACGGGCAGACUUGAGUACUGCAGGGGAGACUGGAAUUCCUGGUGUAGCGGUGGAAUGCGCAGAUAUCAGGAGGAACACCGGUGGCGAAGGCGGGUCUCUGGGCAGUAACUGACGCUGAGGAGCGAAAGCGUGGGGAGCGAACAGG
rnacentral:rRNA from 1 species